GUGGGGAAUUUUGGACAAUGGGCGCAAGCCUGAUCCAGCAAUGCCGCGUGCAGGAAGAAGGCCUUCGGGUUGUAAACUGCUUUUGUACGGAACGAAACGGUCCGGGUUAAUACCCUGGGCUAAUGACGGUACCGUAAGAAUAAGCACCGGCUAACUACGUGCCAGCAGCCGCGGUAAUACGUAGGGUGCAAGCGUUAAUCGGAAUUACUGGGCGUAAAGCGUGCGCAGGCGGUUUUGUAAGACAGGCGUGAAAUCCCCGGGCUCAACCUGGGAAUUGCGCUUGUGACUGCAAGGGUGGAGUGCGGCAGAGGGGGAUGGAAUUCCGCGUGUAGCAGUGAAAUGCGUAGAUAUGCGGAGGAACACCGAUGGCGAAGGCAAUCCCCUGGGCCUGCACUGACGCUCAUGCACGAAAGCGUGGGGAGCAAACAGGAUUAGAAACCCGGGUAGUCC
rnacentral:rRNA from 1 species